rnacentral:lncRNA from 1 species
CCCAACCUUGCUGCACGCUGAAAAUCAGUCACCCCAUGGUGAGAAGUGAGCGUCCUUGAGUGCUGCUGCCCCGGCUAUUUCUCAUCUAGAAGCUCUCUCUCUUCCUUGCUGCAAAUCACAGUCACCCAGAUCUUGCUACGCUAGCUGUUUCUCUUCCUUGUUACAAUGAAUAAGAUCUAUGUGUUUCUGUUACAAAUCUUCGUCUCAAUGACUCAAUCUCUAUUUAUUUCUAAUCUAAACCAUCUCAAAUGCAAAGAAUAAAGGGAAAACAUUUAGAUAAGAGAAUCUGAGAAGAAAGAAACAUUAACAUG